ensembl:lncRNA
GAUAAUUGAGGCUGAAGAAAUAAAUGCCCAAAAGCUGAGCGGAGGUGUCGGUGUUCUUUCCUUUACACAAACAUAACACUCUGCAGAAGUGACCCGAUUACAUUAGUUGUGGUUCAGGGUGACGGAAGUGGGUAUUAUUGCAUUAUAACAAGGUUGCAUGAAAAGCACAUUUUACAAAUAAAGGGAUGCUUGUGAGGGCAUUACAGUAAAAAGGUAAAUUACAGCUAAAAGAACAAACAUGCUGGGCUCACAAGAACAGAAACUGAGGAAAUAAGCAGCUUCAUCAAUUUUAGAAUAAGUUUUUAGACCCUGCUGAGUUUUACUUGAGCUCUUGUACGGGAACAGGAAGACCCCUCUGACUGAGCCUAGCACCAUCACAGCAAAAUCUUCUGAGGUGGUUUGGGUUUCCUGGACAUACCAUGUGACUUCAAGAAGCUGCACAAAAAAAACAGAUAGUUCAAGAAAAUAGAAGGAAGAGGAAUUCUACCUUCAGCUUUUAGCUCUGGAGAGUCAUGGAGAAUAUGUGGGUGUUGGGAGCUGUGCUGGUUCUGGCUGUCUGUCUAACCUCAGGAGAAUCUGUCAGAAUGUUUCCAGCAUCUAAUAAAACAACAUCUGAAAUUUCUGAAGGUUCCAGGAAUGAGAGUGUUGAAAUGGGCACCAACAUAACUUUACUCUGUACCAAUGAAAAGGUAGAAUGGAAUAAGAUGAUUUAUGUAAUCUGGAAAAUCUACUCACAAGAGAAGAACUGUUCUAUCUCUGUGUCCACAAGCGACCCUGCCUUUAACAACUGUACGGAUGGAAAGCAGAUAAUCAAUGAAAGUACAAGUGGAAACUACAGCUUGUUCAUCCCUCAGUUUUCAAGCAAAGAUGAAGGCCGUUACAUCUGUGACAUGUCUUACCAAGCUGGGGCCUUUAUAGAAACAAUUAAUGUGUAUGCAUGCGUCCGUCCGACACUGACUGGCUGGCUGGAAAAGGAUGAAGAUGGUCACACUUUUGCCGUCUGUGAAGCUCAGAGUAAACCAGCAGCUUCCAUUUACUGGGAAACCCAGUGGAACAUCUCCUCACUCAGAACGAGCUCAUCUAAAAACGACAGUGGACUUUUCACAGUGACGAGCCGUUUACAGCUUCCUCAUGAUGCAUCUUACAACAAUCUGACCUGUGUGGUCUCUGCCAGCCCCUCCAACUACUGGAAAGAGAUUCAAUUCACCUUCCAGUAUAAGGUCUCUUUCCAGGCUAUUGAACACAAUUGGAUUCGUCUGGGUAUUUUUGCCUUUUUCAUCAUAACACUUCUGAUCAUCAUUGGAAUUGUUUUGAUCAUUAAAAAAUGUGGCCUGCAUGUCUGAAAUCUCAACACCAAAAGAAGAAAACUCAAAGGAAUAUGAAGAAGAAGUGAAGGUGGAAAGUGGCUUGUAUGUGAAUGUUAACCAACUUAUGACCUGUUUAGACUUGAGACUUAAGACAUACAAAAGUGCAGUGUUUAAGGGAAGCUGCAAAAUAACUCAGAGAUGGUGAACUUCCUGCAGGUCUUGAUAGCAGGUGGGAUCAAACAUUAUAAAAGUGGAUAUCUGCAUUUUUUGGAAUCUGAAAAAAUGUGUCCGGGUGGGAUUUUUUAAAUGAAAGGAUAUUGCGUUAAUUUCUACAGUCUAUUUCCAACGCAAAAAGACAAUAUGCAUAAAAUAUAUUAUAUCAUAUAUAAAUAUGUGUGUGUGAAUGUGUCAUGUUUUUGUCUGGAUGUGCCCAUGCAAGCCUUCUUAUUCUUAUUUAUU